ACUAUUUUGACAGAAAAAUGUGAUGAUUUUAGAAGUCAUUUAUAUAUAAUUUUAUUAUAUAGAUAGUA
rnacentral:tRNA from 1 species